UGAACGCUAGCUACAGGCUUAACACAUGCAAGUCGAGGGGCAGCAUGGUCUUAGCUUGCUAAGGCCGAUGGCGACCGGCGCACGGGUGAGUAACACGUAUCCAACCUGCCGUCUACUCUUGGACAGCCUUCUGAAAGGAAGAUUAAUACAAGAUGGCAUCAUGAGUCCGCAUGUUCACAUGAUUAAAGGUAUUCCGGUAGACGAUGGGGAUGCGUUCCAUUAGAUAGUAGGCGGGGUAACGGCCCACCUAGUCUUCGAUGGAUAGGGGUUCUGAGAGGAAGGUCCCCCACAUUGGAACUGAGACACGGUCCAAACUCCUACGGGAGGCAGCAGUGAGGAAUAUUGGUCAAUGGGCGAGAGCCUGAACCAGCCAAGUAGCGUGAAGGAUGACUGCCCUAUGGGUUGUAAACUUCUUUUAUAAAGGAAUAAAGUCGGGUAUGGAUACCCGUUUGCAUGUACUUUAUGAAUAAGGAUCGGCUAACUCCGUGCCAGCAGCCGCGGUAAUACGGAGGAUCCGAGCGUUAUCCGGAUUUAUUGGGUUUAAAGGGAGCGUAGAUGGAUGUUUAAGUCAGUUGUGAAAGUUUGCGGCUCAACCGUAAAAUUGCAGUUGAUACUGGAUAUCUUGAGUGCAGUUGAGGCAGGCGGAAUUCGUGGUGUAGCGGUGAAAUGCUUAGAUAUCACGAAGAACUCCGAUUGCGAAGGCAGCCUGCUAAGCUGCAACUGACAUUGAGGCUCGAAAGUGUGGGUAUCAAACAGGAUUAGAUACCCUGGUAGUCCACACGGUAAACGAUGAAUACUCGCUGUUUGCGAUAUACUGCAAGCGGCCAAGCGAAAGCGUUAAGUAUUCCACAUGGGGAGUACGCCGGCAACGGUGAAACUCAAAGGAAUUGACGGGGGCCCGCACAAGCGGAGGAACAUGUGGUUUAAUUCGAUGAUACGCGAGGAACCUUACCCGGGCUUAAAUUGCAGAUGAAUUACGGUGAAAGCCGUAAGCCGCAAGGCAUCUGUGAAGGUGCUGCAUGGUUGUCGUCAGCUCGUGCCGUGAGGUGUCGGCUUAAGUGCCAUAACGAGCGCAACCCUUGUUGUCAGUUACUAACAGGUUCUGCUGAGGACUCUGACAAGACUGCCAUCGUAAGAUGUGAGGAAGGUGGGGAUGACGUCAAAUCAGCACGGCCCUUACGUCCGGGGCUACACACGUGUUACAAUGGGGGGUACAGAGGGCCGCUACCACGCGAGUGGAUGCCAAUCCCAAAAACCUCUCUCAGUUCGGACUGGAGUCUGCAACCCGACUCCACGAAGCUGGAUUCGCUAGUAAUCGCGCAUCAGCCACGGCGCGGUGAAUACGUUCCCGGGCCUUGUACACACCGCCCGUCAAGCCAUGGGAGCCGGGGGUACCUGAAGUGCGUAACCGCGAGGAGCGCCCUAGGGUAAAACUGGU
rnacentral:rRNA from 1 species